UACGAAGGGGGCUAGCGUUGUUCGGAAUUACUGGGCGUGAAGCGUGCGCAGGCGGCUUCUCAAGUCAGGGGUGAAAGCCCAGAGCUCAACUCUGGAACUGCCUUUGAGACUGAGUGGCUUGAGUACGAGAGAGGUGAGUGGAAUUCCCAGUGUAGAGGUGAAAUUCGUAGAUAUUGGGAAGAACACCGGUGGCGAAGGCGGCUCACUGGCUCGUAACUGACGCUCAUGCACGACAGCGUGGGGAUCAAACAGG
rnacentral:rRNA from 1 species